GUAGGGGGCAAGCGUUAUCCGGAUUUACUGGGUGUAAAGGGAGCGUAGACGGUAUGGCAAGUCUGAUGUGAAAACCCGGGGCUCCACCCCGGGACUGCAUUGGAAACUGCCGAACUAGAGUGUCGGAGAGGCAAGUGGAAUUCCUAGUGUAGCGGUGAAAUGCGUAGAUAUUAGGAGGAACACCAGUGGCGAAGGCGGCUUGCUGGACGAUGACUGACGUUGAGGCUCGAAAGCGUGGGGAGCAAA
rnacentral:rRNA from 1 species